rnacentral:rRNA from 1 species
GACGAACGAUGGCGGCGUGCUUAACACAUGCAAGUCGAACGAAGUGGCGAACGGGUGAGUAACGCGUAAUCAACCUGCCCUUCAGAGGGGGACCACAGUUGGAAACGACUGCUACUACCGCAUACUGAAGGGGGGGUUUGAGUCUGAUUAGCUAGUUGGAGGGGUAACGGCCCACCAAGGCGAUGAUCAGUAGCAGGUGUGAGACGUUGAACGGCACCAUUGGGACUGGGACACGGCCCAGACUCCUACGGGAGGCAGCAGUGGGGAAUCUUCCGACAUGGAGGAAAUUCUGACGGAGCAACGCCGCGUGAGUGAUGACGGCCUUCGGGUUGUAAAUCUCUGUUAAUCGGGACGCGGUACCGGAAUAGAAAGCCACGGCUAACUACGUGCCAGCCGCCGCGGUAAUUC